GGUGAUCAGGACCUCCACCUGACAGGGAAGCAGACAGUUGGGUAGUAGGUGUGGCCAGCAUUUACCUGUCCGAGUGUUUGUGAGGCAGACCGGACCACUAUGUGAGUCUUGAUAAACUGCUCGCUCACUCAGUGCCAGAAAUAGCUGGGCCACUGGGGCCUCAGGACAGUUGUGGAUCCUUUCCUGGGCAGUGGAUCCUGCCCUGGUCAUUCCUACUGGUCCCCCAUGGCCUCUCCUAAGCUCUGUUGAGCUACACCCAAAGUGUGACCCGUGGCAUAAUGGAAGGACUGGGCCUCACCUACCAGACAUUUGCUGGGACAUUCCGCUGUCACAUGGCUGGCGAUGGCACUUGGAAAACACUGGGAAGAGAACAGAAAAACUUACAGAUUGGUGUUUAAAAGGCCAAAUCCUCAAUCUGUGUUCCUGCCCUGAUGAUGUCACCAUUCUGUCUAGUAGGAGACCAGGGCUGCCUCAGGCUGCGCAAGUGUCCUAGGCUCCCGACGGCCUCUCACAGGUUUGGUAGCUGCUUGUUGCUCAACUGUUUGUCUCACCAGUCGAGUCUCCUGUAGAAAGGCUACACGAAUGACAGUGACAUCCCACGCCCCCUGGGAUGACCUUGGUGACAUCUGUCAUGUUCUGUACUCUCUGCUUUCAGCCUGGUCACUUGACCUUGUGCUGCACUCGGGCAAUGGAGUGCAGUGCAGUCUGCAGCACCAUUCAUUUGUUCCAAAAGCAAUAGGAAGAGAGAUCUCUCCGCUUCAUGACCUAAAACCCAAACUGGGGUUUCCUUGUGCCUCCUCGUCCAGCUCUUCACCUCUGGCACCUUCAUGGACUUUCCUGAGACAUGGACCCUGAGCUUCACACGGGUUUUUAAAAUAUAAUUGGUAUGGUGCUUUGGAUCUGCUGGGCCCACAGGAAGUGGCGCUAUGAGGAGGUGUGGUCUUGUUGGAGGAAGUUUGAGGUCUCCUAUGCUCAAGCUCCACCCAGUGUGUGAGAGCCUCCUCCUGGCUGCCUUUGAAUCAAGAUGCAGAACUCUCAGCUCCUUCUCCAGCACGAUGCCUGUCUGGAUGCUGCCAUGUUCCUGCCUUGAUGAUACUGGACUGAAUCUCUGAACCUGUAAGCCAGCCCCAAUAAGUGUUGUCCUUAUGAGAGUUGCCUUGGUCACGGUGUCUGCUCACAGCAGUAAACCCUAAGACAGUUGGAUUUCUUAGGAAAAUAGUUAAGUAGUAUAAUACUAGUAGUUAAAAUAAAAUUUCAUUCAAAUACAUUUAA